UACGAAGGGGACUAGCGUUGUUCGGAAUUACUGGGCGUAAAGCGUGCGCAGGCGGUUGUGCAAGACAGAUGUGAAAUCCCCGGGCUCAACCUGGGAAUUGCAUUUGUGACUGCACGGCUAGAGUGUGUCAGAGGGGGGUAGAAUUCCACGUGUAGCAGUGAAAUGCGUAGAUAUGUGGAGGAAUACCGAUGGCGAAGGCAGCCCCCUGGGCUAAGAUUGACGCUCAUGCACGAAAGCGUGGGGAGCAAACAGG
rnacentral:rRNA from 1 species